rnacentral:rRNA from 1 species
UACGUAGGGGGCUAGCGUUGUCCGGAAUCAUUGGGCGUAAAGCGCGCGUAGGCGGCCCGGUAAGUCCGCUCUGAAAGUCCAGGGCUCAACCCUGGAAAGCGGGUGGAUACUGCCGGGCUAGAAUCCGGAAGAGGCGAGUGGAAUUCCUGGUGUAGCGGUGGAAUGCGCAGAUAUCAGGAAGAACACCAAUGGCGAAAGCAGCUCUCUGGGACGGUACUGACGCUGAGACACGAAAGCGUGGGGAGCGAACAGG